UUGGCGGACGGGUGAGUAACGCGUGAGUAACCUGCCUUUCAGAGGGGGAGUAACGUUCUGAAAAGAACGCUAAUACCGCAUGAGACUACAGAGCUGCAUGGCUCAGUGGUCAAAGGAGCAAUCCGCUGAAAGAUGGACUCGCGUCCGAUUAGAUAGUAGGCGGGGUAACGGCCCACCAAGCCUUCGAUGGAUAGGGGUUCUGAGAGGAAGGUCCCCCACAUUGGAACUGAGACACGGUCCAAACUCCUACGGGAGGCAGCAUG
rnacentral:rRNA from 1 species